rnacentral:rRNA from 1 species
GCCUGGCCCUAAACCUCAAUAGUUAAAAUAACAAAACUAUUCGCCAGAAUACUACAAGCAACAGCUUGAAACUCAAAGGACUUGGCGGUGCUUCAUACCCCCUAGAGGAGCCUGUUCUGUAAUCGAUAAACCCCGAUCCACCCCACCCUCUCUUGCUUAGUCUAUAUACCGCCAUCUUCAGCAAACCCUGAUGAAGGCUACGAAGUGAGCGCAAAUGCCCUUCCCCGCAAAAACGUUAGGUCAAGGUGUAACCUAUGAGACGGUAAAAAUGGGCUACAUUUUCUACUUCAGAAUAUCCACGAUAGCUCCUAUGAAAUCUAGGAGCCCAAGGAGGAUUUAGCAGUAAAUUAAGAAUAGAGUGCUUAAUUGAACUAGGCCAUAAAGCACGC